rnacentral:tmRNA from 1 species
GGGGGUGCCCGGUUUUGACAGCAUAGAUCUUUGAAGGUGUAAGCAUGCAGUGCAUUGGGUAAGCGGCACUUUAAUCCCGACUACCUAAACUUCAAAUGGCAAUACUCAGUAUGCCAUGGCUGCCUAAUCAGUGAUUAGAUAGUCAUUAGGGCCGCAGAGCAGGUUCGCCUGUUACCAAGUUCUGCCGCCGACUCAAAACAAAUACAGGAUGCUGCGACGGAAGGCUGUGACCGUCGCUUAAGACCAUCCAGCUAAGGAGACGAUCGGUGUGCCAGGUUCCUGUCGUCUCCCGACAACCAAUGCCGGGAUAAGCAUGUAGAAAGCUUUCGGCGAUUAUGUUUGGACAGGGGUUCGAUUCCCCUCACCUCCACAG